UACAGAGGGUGCAAGCGUUGUCCGGAAUUACUGGGCGUAAAGGGCGCGUAGGCGGCCCGAUAAGUCGGACGUGAAAUUCCGUGGCUUAACCACGGAACUGCGUUCUAGACUGUCAGGCUUGAGCACGGUAGAGGCAGAUGGAAUUCCCGGUGUAGCGGUGGAAUGCGUAGAGAUCGGGAAGAACACCAGUGGCGAAGGCGGUCUGCUGGGCCGUUGCUGACGCUGAGGCGCGACAGCGUGGGGAGCAAACAGG
rnacentral:rRNA from 1 species